GUGAGGAAUUUUGCGCAAUGGGGGCAACCCUGACGCAGCGACGCCGCGUGGAGGACGAAGUCUUUCGGGAUGUAAACUCCUGUCAGUGGGGACGAUAAUGACGAUACCCACAGAGGAAGCACCGGCUAACUCCGUGCCAGCAGCCGCGGUAAGACGGAGGGUGCAAGCGUUGUUCGGAAUUACUGGGCGUAAAGCGUAUGUAGGCGGCAAGUUAAGUUCAAUGUUAAAGCCCACGGCUCAACCGAGGAGAUGCAUUGAAUACUGGCUAGCUAGAGGGUGUGAGAGGAAGACGGAAUUCCCAGUGUAGCGGUGAAAUGCGUAGAUAUUGGGAGGAACAUCGGUAGCGAAAGCGGUCUUCUGGGACAUACCUGACGCUGAGGUACGAAAGCGUGGGGAGCAAACGGGAUUAGAUACCCGAGUAGUCC
rnacentral:rRNA from 1 species